GUACUGGGGAGCUGGCGUAAGCAAGGCGCACCGAGAACCGGUACGGUCCCUCCAUCGGGCCCGGUGCACAGAAUGUUUUGCAGCCAUUUAUUGACUUCGGAGAAUAUGGACCAAUGACAGCCAGUGAAAGAUGAAAUCCAAGGGCACUCCCUCUGCAGACUGAUGGAGAAGGACCAGCAUCCUGGAUUUUCAAACAAAUUCAGAAGCUGCACUUUGAAAUGGCAGUUCCACGAGUGCCACAAGGAGUACCUGCAUCCUCGGUCCUCAAUAGGAGAAAAGCUGCACUAACCC